AUUGAACGCUGGCGGCAGGCUUAACACAUGCAAGUCGAACGAGUGGCGGACGGGUGAGUAAUGCUUGGGAAACUGGCUGAUGGAGGGGGAUAACUACGGGAAACUGUAGCUAAUACCGCGUACCAUAGGAUGAGCCCAAAUGGGAUUAGGUAGUUGGUGGGGUAACGGCUCACCAAGCCGACGAUCCCUAGCUGGUCUGAGAGGAUGACCAGCCACACUGGGACUGAGACACGGCCCAGACUCCUACGGGAGGCAGCAGUGGGGAAUAUUGCACAAUGGGCGCAAGCCUGAUGCAGCCAUGCCGCGUGUAUGAAGAAGGCCUUCGGGUUGUAAAGUACUUUCAGCGAGGAGGCGUUACCCGCAGAAGAAGCACCGGCUAACUCCGUGCCAGCAGCCGCGGUAAUUC
rnacentral:rRNA from 1 species